CAGUCGCCGCGGUAAUACGGAGGGUGCGAGCGUUAAUCGGAAUUACUGGGCGUAAAGGGUGCGUAGGCGGUUUUUUAAGUCCGUUGUGAAAGCCCCGAGCUCAACUUGGGAACUGCAGUGGAUACUGGAAAGCUCGAGUGUGUCAGAGGAUGGUGGAAUUCCCGGUGUAGCGGUGAAAUGCGUAGAGAUCGGGAGGAACAUCAGUGGCGAAGGCGGCCAUCUGGGACAACACUGACGCUGAGGCACGAAAGCGUGGGGAGCAAACAGGAUUAGAUACCCCUGUAGUCCCUGUCUCUUAUAA
rnacentral:rRNA from 1 species